UAGCUGGUCUGAGAGGACGACCAGCCACACUGGGACUGAGAUACGGCCCAGACUCCUACGGGAGGCAGCAGAGGGGAAUCUUGCGCAAUGGGCGAAAGCCUGACGCAGCGACGCCGCGUGGGGGAUGAAGGCCCUCGGGUUGUAAACCCCUUUCGGCAGGGACGAAGCGAUAGUGACGGUACCUGCAGAAGAAGCCUCGGCUAACUACGUGCCAGCAGCCGCGGUAAGACGUAGGAGGCGAGCGUUGUCCGGAUUCAUUGGGCGUAAAGAGCACGCAGGCGGUUUGGCAAGUCGGAUGUGAAAACCCGAAGCUCAACUUCGGGCCUGCAUCCGAAACUGCCCGACUAGAGGUAGGUAGGGGAGAUCGGAAUUCCUGGUGUAGCGGUGAAAUGCGCAGAUAUCAGUAGGAACACCGGUGGCGAAGGCGGAUCUCUGGGCCUUACCUGACGCUCAGGUGCGAAAGCUAGGGGAGCGAACAGGAUUAGAUACCCUGGUAGUCCUAGCCGUAAACGUUGGGUGCUAGGUGUGGGCGGUCAUCAACCCCGUCCGUGCCGAAGCUAACGCAUUAAGCACCCCGCCUGGGGAGUACGGCCGCAAGGCUAAAACUCAAAGGAAUUGACGGGGCCCCGCACAAGCGGCGGAGCAUGUUGCUUAAUUCGAUGCGACGCGAAGAACCUUACCUGGGCUUGACAUGCAGGGUGAAACCCGUGAAAGCGGGCGCUCUUCGGAGCCUGCACAGGUGGUGCAUGGCUGUCGUCAGCUCGUGCCGUGAGGUGUUGCCUUAAGUGGCGCAACGAGCGCAACCCCUGUCCUUAGUUGCCAGCGGAUCAUGCCGGGAACUCUAGGGAGACUGCCGGUGCCAAACCGGAGGAAGGUGGGUAUGACGUCAAGUCAUCAUGCCCCUUACGUCCAGGGCUGCAAACAUGCUACAAUGCUCGGUACAAAGGGCUGCGAUCCCGCAAGGGGGAGCGAAUCCCAGAAAGCCGGGCUCAGUUCGGAUCGGGGUCUGCAACUCGACCCCGUGAAGUUGGAGUCGCUAGUAAUCGCAGAUCAGCACUGCUGCGGUGAAUACGUUCCCGGGGCUUGUACACACCGCCCGUCACACCACGAAAGUGGGCAACACCCGAAGCCGGUGGCCUAACCCUUGUGGAGGGAGCCGUCGAAGGUGGGGCUCGCGAUUGGGGUGAAGUCGUAACAAGGUAGCCGUACCGGAAGGUGCGGCUG
rnacentral:rRNA from 1 species